UAGGGAAUAUUGCUCAAUGGGGGAAACCCUGAAGCAGCAACGCCGCGUGGAGGAUGAAGGUUUUAGGAUUGUAAACUCCUUUUGUUAGAGAAGAUAAUGACGGUAUCUAACGAAUAAGCACCGGCUAACUCCGUGCCAGCAGCCGCGGUAAUACGGAGGGUGCAAGCGUUACUCGGAAUCACUGGGCGUAAAGAGCGCGUAGGCGGGAUAGUCAGUCAGGUGUGAAAUCCUAUGGCUUAACCAUAGAACUGCAUUUGAAACUACUAUUCUAGAGUGUGGGAGAGGUAGGUGGAAUUCUUGGUGUAGGGGUAAAAUCCGUAGAGAUCAAGAGGAAUACUCAUUGCGAAGGCGACCUGCUGGAACAUUACUGACGCUGAUUGCGCGAAAGCGUGGGGAGCAAACAGG
rnacentral:rRNA from 1 species